rnacentral:rRNA from 1 species
AGGGUUUGAUUAUGGCUCAGGACGAACGCUGGCGGCGCGCCUAACACAUGCAAGUCGAACGAGAGAGAGGGAGCUUGCUUCUUCAAUCGAGUGGCGAACGGGUGAGUAACGCGUGAGGAACCUGCCUCAAAGAGGGGGACAACAGUUGGAAACGACUGCUAAUACCGCAUAAGCCCACGGCUCGGCAUCGAGCAGAGGGAAAAGGAGCAAUCCGCUUUGAGAUGGCCUCGCGUCCGAUUAGCUAGUUGGUGAGGUAAUGGCCCACCAAGGCAACGAUCGGUAGCCGGACUGAGAGGUUGAACGGCCAUAUUGGGACUGAGACACGGCCCAG